rnacentral:rRNA from 1 species
GGAGGGGAGUGAAAGAGAACCUGAAACCCUGCACUUACAAGCUGUAGGAGCACAUUAUUUGUGUGACUGCGUACUUUUUGUAGAACGGGCCAACGAGUUACGUUGUGUAGCAAGGUUAAGCACUUAAGGUGUGGAGCCGUAGCGAAAGCGAGUCUUAAAUGGGCGUCCAGUUACCCGACGUAGACCCGAAACCAGGCGACCUAUCCAUGAGCAGGUUGAAGCGAAAGUAAAAUUUCGUGGAGGACCGAACCCACGUACGUUGAAAAGUGCGGGGAUGACUUGUGGAUAGCGGUGAAAUUCCAAUCGAGCCUGGAGAUAGCUGGUUCUCCCCGAAAUAGCUUUAGGGCUAGCCUCAAGCUUAGAGAAACGGAGGUAGAGCACUGAAUGUCCUAGGGGGUAUUGCACUUACCGAAGACUAUCAAACUCCGAAUGCCGUAUUCUUUUGCUUGGGAGUCAGACUAUGGGUGAUAAGAUUCAUAGUCAAGAGGGCAACAGCCCAGAUCGUCAGCUAAGGUCCCUAAAUGUAAGUUAAGUGGUAAAGGAUGUGGAAUUGCACAGACAACCAGGAUGUUGGCUUAGAAGCAGCCACUCAUUUAAAGAGUGCGUAAUAGCUCACUGGUCGAGUGAUUCUGCGCCGAAAAUUUCCGGGGCUAAAACUUACUACCGAAGCUACGGCAUCAUUAUGAUGGGUAGGGGAGCUUUCUAUGCGGCUUGAAGCAUGACCGUAAGGACAUGUGGACUGCAUAGAAGUGAGAAUGUUGGCAUGAGUAGCGAGAUGUGGGUGAGAAUCCCACAGGCCGUAAACCCAAGGUUUCCAGGGGAAGGUUCGUCCGCCCUGGGUUAGUCAGGACCUAAGCCGAGGCCGAAAGGCGUAGGUGAUGGACAACAGGUUGAUAUUCCUGUACCACCAAUAACCGUUUGAGAAAUGGGAUGACACAGUAGGAUAAGCUAACCGCACUGUUGGUUAUGUGCGGGCAAGUAUUGAGGCAGUUCCGAUAGGCAAAUCCGUCGGAAUAAUGCUGGGGUACGAUGCGGAGCGAAAUUUAGUAGCGAAGUAGCUGAUUUCACACUGUCGAGAAAAGUCUCUAUCGAGGUUAAAGGUGCCUGUACCGCAAACCGACACAGGUGGGUGAGGAGAGUAUCCUAAGGCCAGCGAGAGAACUGUUGUUAAGGAACUCGGCAAAAUGACCCCGUAACUUAGGGAGAAGGGGUGCCUUCGAAAGAAGGCCGCAGAGAAUAGGCCCAAGCGACUGUUUACCAAAAACAUAGGUUUCUGCUAAGUCGCAAGACGAUGUAUAGGAGCUGACGCCUGCCCGGUGCUGGAAGGUUAAGGGGAUCUGUUAGAGCAAUCGAAGCAGUGAACUUAAGCCCCAGUAAACGGCGGCCGUAACUAUAACGGUCCUAAGGUAGCGAAAUUCCUUGUCGGGUAAGUUCCGACCCGCACGAAAGGCGUAAUGAUUUGGGCACUGUCUCAACAAGAGACUCGGUGAAAUUUUAGUACCUGUGAAGAUGCAGGUUACCCGCGACAGGACGGAAAGACCCCAUGGAGCUUUACUGUAGCUUGACAUUGAGUCUCGGUGCUACAUGUACAGGAUAGGUGGGAGACUAUGAAGCAUGGACGUCAGUCUGUGUGGAGUCAUCCUUGGGAUACCACCCUUGUAGUACUGGGAUUCUAACCAGAGGCCAUGAAUCUGGUCUUGGGACACUGUCAGGUGGACAGUUUGACUGGGGCGGUCGCCUCCCAAAAAGUAACGGAGGCGCUCAAAGGUUCUCUCAGUACGGUCGGAAAUCGUACGAAGAGUGUAAAGGCAAAAGAGAGCUUGAUUGCAAGACAUACAGGUCGAGCAAGGACGAAAGUCGGACUUAGUGAUCCGGUGGUUCCGCAUGGAAGGGCCAUCGCUCAACGGAUAAAAGCUACCCUGGGGAUAACAGGCUGAUCUCCCCCAAGAGUCCACAUCGACGGGGAGGUUUGGCACCUCGAUGUCGGCUCAUCACAUCCUGGGGCUGUAGUAGGUCCCAAGGGUUGGGCUGUUCGCCCAUUAAAGUGGUACGCGAGCUGGGUUCAGAACGUCGUGAGACAGUUCGGUCCCUAUCCGUCGCAGGCGUAGGAAAUUUGAGGAGACCUGUCCUUAGUACGAGAGGACCGGGAUGGACGUACCGCUGGUGUACCAGUUGUUCUGCCAAGGGCAUGGCUGGGUAGCUAAGUACGGAAAGGAUAAGCGCUGAAAGCAUCUAAGCGCGAAGCCCACUUCAAGAUAAGAUUUCCCACCGCAAGGUUAAGAUCCCAGGAAGACUACCUGGUUGA